rnacentral:rRNA from 1 species
UAAGAGCCUACCAAGGCGACGAUCGGUUGCUGGUCUGAGAGGACGAUCAGCCACACUGGGAUUGAGAACGGCCCAUACUCCUACGGGGGGCAGCAGUGAGGAAUUUUCCGCAAUGGAGGCAACUCUGACGGAGCAACGCCGCGUGCAGGAGGACGCUUUUCGGAGUGUAAACUGCUUUUCUGUGGGAAGAGCGAGGACGGUACCACAGGAAGAAGCCCCGGCUAACUACGUGCCAGCAGCCGCGGUAAUACGUAGGGGGCGAGCGUUGUCCGGAGUUACUGGGCGUAAAGGGCAUGCAGGCGGUCGGACGCGUUUUGUGUGACAGCGGGUGGCUUAACUACCCGAUGCAUACGAAAGACGGUUCGACUUGAGGGCUCGAGAGGGACACAGAAUUCCGGGUGGAGUGGAUGAAAAUG